rnacentral:rRNA from 1 species
AUGGCCAAACAAGUGUAUGAGUGCAAUUGGGUUCCUUCUGGCGUCACGGAAUCACAGUUGGACGAUCUAGUCUUGAUCGACGCUUUAGACAGUAAAGAUACGAUCCACUGGAGGGUUCCUGGAAAUGAAUGUCCACCUACCCCCCAGGAAGGAGAGGUUGUGGUCUUCGCAGAUCACUUGGCCCGGGGCUUCAAAUCGCCCGGCUCUAAAUUUUACCGGGAUGUGUUAGCCAAUUUUCAGCUCCGUCCACAGGAUAUUGGCCCCAACUCUGUUACCAAUCUAUGCCACUUUCAAGUGCUCUCUGAGGUAUACUUUCAAGAGGAGCCUUUAGUCGAAUUGUUUAGAGACCUCUUUCAUUUAAACCGUCCCACUGAAUUCACCGACGGCCCCAACACUGAAUUGGGCGGUAUGGCCAUUCAGAAGAGGAAGGAAAUCACUUAUCCCCACGUCAAACUCCAUACUCACCCCAAGGAGUGGAAUGCAACUUGGUUUUAUUGCAAGGAUACCUCCCCUGACAAUGAAAAUCCCUUGCCCGGUUUCCGUCCGGAACGGCUUAGCAACACGCACCCUUUUCCACAAAGACUAAGCGCCAAGGAAAGAAUUAAAUACGCUCCGCAACUGUCCAAGCUCCGAGCUUUUAUGGCCAACGGCUUAACGGGAAUAGAUCUUGCACGCUGUUGGAUAUCAUGGAGCAUACUGCCUCUGAGCCGGCGCUCCAAUUUGAUGUGCAAGUAUACUGAUAGUGUCAAUGACCCACUCCGACACACUAAAAUCCAACUCCCAGAUGACGAAGUCACAGAAUCUGUGAAAAAGAUGCUGAAUGAACCGGAGCACCUCUGUGCUCAAACCGGUCUGCCUCCUUACUGCACCACCAACAAACCGCCAGCGGGCGAUAAUCCAUUUUGGAGCAAGAAACUUCCUCAAGACAAAACGGAGAAAGCAGGGCGGCCAAUCCGUCCCAAGACCAAGGUUAUUAAGAAGCCAGCUCAUAAGAGAAAAACCACCGCUUCAUCUGAUCCAGCUAUUGAUGAUGAUGAUGACGCUGAAGCCAGCAAUGCGGAAUUCGUUGAGAUUCAGCAACAUGAAGUUCGCCGCACAACCCGGCACAGUGGCCAGGUAGUUACCUCCACCGGUUUACCAAACAGUCCGGUUCGAAAACGCCGCUCCGAGGUUACUUCUCAUUCAUCUUUUGGUGAAUCGUCGGCCACUCAGCUGCCACCGUUAAAAACGGUUCUUGGGGCCAAACCUAAACCGAGCAAGAAGGCCCGCCCGGAUAAAGCGACCGAAGAGGAUGUAGCCCAAGAACAUGACAAAACGCCAGAUCUUGAGGCAUUUGCUCCUGAGGAUAUUCCCAAUGAUCGUCCUUUACAAGACGAUGCUAUUCCCAAAGAGAGGCCUAUUAAUACUUCAGUCUCUGCUGACCCGCCUGUCAGCUCCGUCCGGAUUGAGAAAUCCCACAGUCCUGUUGACAAACCGAUCACACUAACACAAACCGGCGAGUCCAAAGAUGAUGAUGUUGUGAUUACCGGUGUAGGCCGCUUUGAACCCGGGAAUCCUGUCACCUUAACCAAGCAUACCAUAAAAGAGGAUUUUUCCGCUCUGAAUAAAGAAAAAUGGGAUGUUGAACUGGAGACAUAUGCUGCUCUGAGCGCCCAAGAUCUUCAUUCCGGCUAUCUAAACCGGCUUUAUACUAGCCGUGACUGUGAAGCUGGUCUGGUAAAAAUGAUGAGGGAUAAAUUUGAGGUUACUUACUUCUUUACUGCCUGCCUUUGCACCAAUCCUCCUAGCCCCCAAGGGUCGGUUUGUAGCCUUCGUCAAACCGGGACUUGA